rnacentral:rRNA from 1 species
AACGUAGGACGCAAGCGUUAUCCGGAGUUACUGGGCGUAAAGGGCAGGCAGGCGGGUCGAUAAGUCGGAUGUGAAAUCUCCCUGGCUUAACCGGGAGAGUGCAUUUGAGACUGUCAACCUGGAGGGCAGCAGAGGAGCGUGGAAUUCCGGGUGGAGUGGUGAAAUGCGUAGAUAUCCGGAGGAACACCGGUGGCGAAGGCGGCUUCCUGGACCGACACUGACGCUGAGGCGCGAAAGCUAGGGGAGCAAACAGG